rnacentral:rRNA from 1 species
UACGUAGGGGGCAAGCGUUGUCCGGAAUUAUUGGGCGUAAAGAGCGUGUAGGCGGCCAGAUAAGUCCGCUGUGAAAUCUCGAGGCUCAACUUCGAGCUGUCGGUGGAAACUGUCUGGCUAGAGUCCGGAAGAGGAGAUGGAAUUCCUGGUGUAGCGGUGAAAUGCGCAGAUAUCAGGAGGAACACCAAUGGCGAAGGCAGCACUCUGGGACGGUACUGACGCUGAGACGCGAAAGCGUGGGGAGCAAACAGG